rnacentral:rRNA from 1 species
GUCUACAGCCAUGCCACCCUGAACGUGCCCGAUCCCGUCUGGUCUCGGAAGCUAAGCAGAGUCGGGCCUGGUUAGUACUUGGAUGGGAGACCACCUAGGAAUACCGGGUGCUGUAGGCG